rnacentral:lncRNA from 1 species
UAAAUAUACAUGUUGGACUUGGAUUCGACUUAGGAGAAAAUGCGAUAACGAUCGGCAUAUGUUAAACUACCUGAUUUAGCCAUAGGGGCCGUUGUAUGAUUUUAUACUGUUACAGUAUCAUCAUAUUGAGAAUUCCAGGUAGUUUAGAUUUCAGUUACACUUGUGCGGGGAUGCCGAGUGAAUUUUUAAAAUAGCAUUUAGGCUGUUCCGGACUGUUGGGUGCCGUCGGGGUUGACGGUGGACCCAUAUCG